UAAAUUGACUUUAAAUCCUGGCUCCUUCUCAUCUCAGUUCUGCGGGUGUCCCAGGCUGAGUGCUCUACCAUGUGGCUCACUGAGUCACAUCCUCACACAAACCUUCGGAGAGAAGUCCGUUACUCUUCUCAUUUUACCCGUCGUGAAGCUGAAACUCCAGAAACAGUGACGUGCACAAUGAAACCAGGAUUGUGGAAGGAAACCACCAGGGCAGUCCAAGGAUGGCAAGGGGCAUUGGACCCUUGGUGCCUGGGAAGCAAUAGGAACUGGGAUGAACCAGAAGACCUGCCUUGUCUCCAGCUGGAGCCCCCACUUGGAUGGAGCCUGCUACUGCUAUGUAGGAACUGCAGGCCCAGAUCAUCUAAUACUUCAAAAGAAGCUAAUGAUCUUGACUUGUAACAUGACAUUCUUGAUUACUGGUUCAAUGUGUUGUAAUACCAGUGAGCUUAACAAAAAUCUGGGGUUUCUGGCUCAUGGGCUUCCUGUUUACAGGACCUGUAUUAAAAAUGGUUUUCAACCUUU